ensembl:lncRNA
GUUCUCUCAGCUCACCGUUCAGUGUCCCUGUGGACCCCAUAAGGGAAGGACACUCAUCACCUUCUUUCCUCUUUCCCAUUGUCCAUACAGACGGGGGCUGGGGGCUGGAGGUGCCUCCAGCUGUCUAAGGAAGGCAGCUCAGAUCCAAGCAGGGUCCCACAGGGGGCCCGAAGGACUCUGCCGUCACCUAAACGUUGCACAUGCAUGAUGACUGCCGUGAUGAAGGUCGGUUGGCAGUUGCCUACUUGUCAUUCUGAACUUGUCUCUUUGUUCCAUUUCAACUUGAGCAGCUGUCAUUUAAAAAUAUAUAUAUUUGGCACCUGAUAAGGUAUUAAAAUAUAGCUUAAAUGUACCAUUCGGUUAUCUUGAAACUAAAUGGCAGUCUGAGAAUUUCCAAAAUCUUCUAUAAUUUCUAAGACAUUUCACGAUUCAAAAGCGGUCAUUAUGCAGAGUCAGCAGAGGAAGGUCAAAGCUUGCUUUCUGCCCUCCAGAUCCCGGCAGGCAGCGGGUCCUUUCACAAACCACAGUUGCCUUUGAAGUGGUGUGAUUUAUGGCUGCUUUCAAAUCAACCUCUCCAAGAGCCUCGAAUGUGAAAAACUUAACCAGCAAAACACUUUCUCUGGAGCCAUGGGUGGUCUUCCGAGCCAGGUUUCAAUGAUUCAUCUGUAAAAAUGGAGGAUUUCUUUUUAUCUUAAUUUCUAACAGCAUUAACUAUUCCUGUUUGAGACAGAAAGAGCUGUGUUCUUUAUAUUUUGUUUGGGGUUGAGCAUAGCUAGCAGGGCCCUGCAGAGGCAUCUCCUCCCUGGGGUGGACUAUUUACAGUCAAUAAAAGAUCUGAGAAAAGGUUGGUGAUCCUUUAAUUGCAGGUGAAGGGAGGCAGGUGGCCCAUGCCUGGCACAUGUCCCCCGCAUCCCCCGCGGUGUAUCAGGUAAGAGCCGUCUCCCUUGAAACCUAAUCAGGAAUCUAAUUCCUCCCAGAGGCCUGGCUCUGAAAAGACGCUGUUUCCUGUGUCAGGCCUGCCUUCCUUCCUUCAACGUAUAGUUGUAGAGUUAUAUAGUGCUGCUGUUUAGUUGAUAAGUCGUGUCUAACCCUUUGCAACCCUGUGGACUGUAGCCCACCAGGAUCCUCUGUCCGUGGAAUUCUCCAGGCAAGAAUACUGGAGUGAGUUGCCAUGCCCUCCUCCAGGGACUCUUUCCCAACCCAGGGAUCAAACCUGGGUCUCCUGCAUUGCAGGCAGAUUGUUUACCGUUUGAGACAUCAGGGAAGCCCUGGUCACAGUCUGUAGCUCCGUGUGUAUAAAUGUUGGUUUUCCUCCAAAAUUGAAUCCAGUGGGUAGAGUUACCCAACCAAGGAUAUGCCCACUUUGGAGGCAACUCUGAAAGAUGCACUUAAAAGAAAUCUUAAGUAACAGCAGCAUUAUCAAAAUAAUGAAUUGUCCAACCAAGGAACAAACAUCUUUGAAGUUAAUGAUAUUUAUCUGAAUAUUCAAGGCUUGUUUUUCUUUUUACUCUCAAUACUUAACUGCUAGACCUUGUGUGCCGGACAUUUCUGUCAGAUGUGAUGAAUAUGCUCAAAGCAAGAUUCUUCGCUUGGGGACCCACAUGUGACAUUUGAAAGCAGCUCAUGUCUUCUUCAGCGCAUUUACAUCUGUUUCCUCAUUUGACUUCAGGGCCAUUCACCUCUUACUGCGCAAGUGCACAGACAUGGGGACAGAGAACCUCCACUUCAUCCCUGGUCUCCUGGCUCCGAGCAUGGAGGACAGCUGUGGCUUGAUGAAGCUGGACACCGAGGCCAGAUUCCAAUGAGUCCUGCCACCAACCGCUGGGUGAGCUUGGGCACAUCACUGACCCUAACCACCCCUCACCCACGAGGCUGCCGGGGGUCCACCCUGACCUGGCCUGGGGACCCCUUCAUUCCUGGUCCCAGCCUUCUCAGGCCAAUGGGAAUGUGCAGGGUCGCCAAG